AUAGAAUCAGCCAUCAAACAGGUUGAGCACCCUAAACACGCAGGCCAGUCCAUCUACAGCCGGGCCGAGAGAGAGGGAGGCAGCUGGAAGAUUAUUAAGCCGUUGUACCUGAACAGUGGGG